rnacentral:rRNA from 1 species
UUCGGAUUGUAGUCUGCAACCCGACUACAUGAAGCUGGAAUCGCUAGUAAUCGCAGGUCAGCAUACUGCGGUGAAUACGUUCCCGGGUCUUGUACACACCGCCCGUCACACCAUGGGAGUCAGCAACGCCCGAAGUCAGUGACCUAACCGAGAGGAAGGAGCUGCCGAAGGCGGGGCAGGUAACUGGGGUGAAGUCGUAACAAGGUAAC